rnacentral:lncRNA from 1 species
GGAAAAAAAGUUUGGAUUUUUCCUGAGGUAAAAAAGUGGAAACUUUAGCUUGUAAAUAAACUUUGGUGACACAAUGAAACCCUUUUCCAUUGAUAAAGGUGGAAGACCUUGAAAGGGUUGAAUGUAAAGCUUAUACAAGCCUUGAACAUGAAGUUCUAUGGUUGCUUCUUUUUCUUCAAAACUGUUUUGUGAGAUUUCUGGGGUUCCUAUGGUCAUGGUGGAAAUGGAAAAGGGUUUGUAGGGUUGGAUGAAGAAGACAUUGGUUGGAAGUGGAAGAGGAAAGGACACCUAGAGAACUAUAAAGUGGUUGCAUCUCAAUAUUGGAAUUUGAUUAAAUAUAUAAAUGUGGAGACUCAAUUUAGUGCUUUACUUUUUUCAUAAAC